UGAGUGACAGGAAAUUCCACCUUUCCCUGAAGAACUCAGGGAGCCACACGGUCUGGAAGUGGGGUUGGAAGAACCCGGCCGUGUAUUAGGGUCCCCGAAAACUUCCUUAAGACUCAGGUGCCUCUGGGAACAUUUUGGAAGCGUCAGCAGCCCAGCAGCGGGAACCUCCCAGGUCUGCACUGCUCAGCCAGAUCUGCUCACCAGCGACUCAACUAAGAGCCCUGGAUGGUGAAGAGAGAGGAGACUAUAGUAAGGAAUCCAGAAACUUGGAAAAGAGCAAUAAGAAGAAUGACUGCUUCUUUGGUAAAUGCUCCCCAGGUCAGUGUCCUAUUCACCUUUCUUUGAAAGUCAUUUUUAUUAUUGAACUCAUUCAAAACUUUAAUUCUUUACAUCUGGUAAUGUUAUCUAAAGUGUAUUUUCAAUGAUUUAUUCUCCUUUUAUCCUGAUAGUCAAAAUUAUGUCUUUAGAUCUUUCACUUAUAUGGCACAGCCUUUUCCCAUUGUAUUUAAGCUGGAUUUUAUACUGUGAGGACAUAAAUUUCCAUGGACUUCAGACCUGGAAUUCUGAAAAUUGUCUAUUCUAAAUGAUGCUCAAAGAAUAUAUUGAUGGGGAUUUCUUCAUAUGAUACACUUGUAUCCUUGUAUAUUGUUGAGGAAGGAAUGUCUCUUGUGCCACAUAAAUUUCUUUUCAGGAAUGGUCAUGUUUCCAGAAAUAGGUUUAUGAAUGAUGCACAAAUAUAUAGACAGCAUUGAACAAUAUAUGGAAGAGUAGAACGAUAAGUAUGACUAUCUGUCUUUAAUCCUAAUAGUAAACAUGUCAGCUCCCUAGAGGAACAGAGGAUGGAAGGAAUAUUUUGAUNACUCUUCCAUAACAUUGAUUUGUCUGUGAGGUGAUGAAGGUUGCAGUAUUAUGGUGUCUUUCUUAGGCAUCUUAUGUUUGUUACACAGUGAUCAUGGGUGGGUUGAUACUAGAAAUCUAUUUAUUUCAAGAGAGGUUCUGCUCAAUGCUCAAUGGUAAGUUUUUAAUAGAUGAUUAUUUUCUCUAUUUAACUUUAUAUCAUGUUUUAGAUUUGGCAUAAGCACUAUUGUCUCCAACUUUACGUUACAUCAUGUGGACUGUAUUAGUAAAAAUCNUCUAGAGAGUAUUGACUAGAGAGUAUUGCUGUGCUUAAGCCGUCAGUUUUCAACCAUAAACAGACGUUCUUCUUAAUUUAUUCUCUUAAUUUCUUUAAGAGGAAGAAUACUCACUUCACCUGUAUUUUUCCUCUUUUAGAAUCUACAUAUUAUAUAGGGGGAAAUUCUAAGCAAUAUAAUGAGGUUUCUAUUUUCCUUUAUAAUAAUAUUUUAUUUAAGUAUAAGACUGUUCAUCUGCAUUUUUUAUGUAUACUGCAUGAGCUAUUAUGCCCCUAGGUCCCUGUAUUCAGCACCAAACCAUUGGAGGUGAAGUCAGGCAUUGUAGUGACUUGCCAUGUGUGUAGAAAGAAUUGAAUCAGGAUUCUAUGGAGAAAUAAUAAGUUCCUUUGCCUCUAAGUCAUUUCUCCAGGCCGUAGUUUUACAUUCUGAUGCACAUUUGUCACAGAGGUACUGUAUAACUUUGUG